CACUAUCGUUAACUGAAUACAUAGGUUAACGAGGCGAACCGGGGGAACUGAAACAUCUAAGUACCCCGAGGAAAAGAAAUCAACCGAGAUUCCCCCAGUAGCGGCGAGCGAACGGGGAGCAGCCCAGAGUCUGAAUCAGCUUGUGUGUUAGUGGAACGGUCUGGAAAGUCCGACGGUACAGGGUGAUAGUCCCGUACACCAAAAUGCACAGGCUGUGAACUCGAAGAGUAGGGCGGGACACGUGGUAUCCUGUCUGAAUAUGGGGGGACCAUCCUCCAAGGCUAAAUACUCCUGACUGACCGAUAGUGAACCAGUACCGUGAGGGAAAGGCGAAAAGAACCCCGGCGAGGGGAGUGAAAAAGAACCUGAAACCGUGUACGUACAAGCAGUGGGAGCACCUUCGGGUGUGACUGCGUACCUUUUGUAUAAUGGGUCAGCGACUUAUAUUCUGUAGCAAGGUUAACCGUAUAGGGGAGCCGCAGGGAAACCGAGUCUUAACUGGGCGUUAAGUUGCAGGGUAUAGACCCGAAACCCGGUGAUCUAGCCAUGGGCAGGUUGAAGGUUGGGUAACACUAACUGGAGGACCGAACCGACUAAUGUUGAAAAAUUAGCGGAUGACUUGUGGCUGGGGGUGAAAGGCCAAUCAAACCGGGAGAUAGCUGGUUCUCCCCGAAAGCUAUUUAGGUAGCGCCUCGUGAACUCAUCUUCGGGGGUAGAGCACUGUUUCGGCUAGGGGGUCAUCCCGACUUACCAACCCGAUGCAAACUACGAAUACCGAAGAAUGUUAUCACGGGAGACACACGGCGGGUGCUAACGUCCGUCGUGAAGAGGGAAACAACCCAGACCGCCAGCUAAGGUCCCAAAGUCAUGGUUAAGUGGGAAACGAUGUGGGAAGGCACAGACAGCCAGGAUGUUGGCUUAGAAGCAGCCAUCAUUUAAAGAAAGCGUAAUAGCUCACUGGUCGAGUCGGCCUGCGCGGAAGAUGUAACGGGGCUAAACCAUGCACCGAAGCUGCGGCAGCGACACUAUGUGUUGUUGGGUAGGGGAGCGUUCUGUAAGCCUGCGAAGGUGUGCUGUGAGGCAUGCUGGAGGUAUCAGAAGUGCGAAUGCUGACAUAAGUAACGAUAAAGCGGGUGAAAAGCCCGCUCGCCGGAAGACCAAGGGUUCCUGUCCAACGUUAAUCGGGGCAGGGUGAGUCGACCCCUAAGGCGAGGCCGAAAGGCGUAGUCGAUGGGAAACAGGUUAAUAUUCCUGUACUUGGUGUUACUGCGAAGGGGGGACGGAGAAGGCUAUGUUAGCCGGGCGACGGUUGUCCCGGUUUAAGCAUGUAGGCUGGUUAUCCAGGCAAAUCCGGAUAAUCAAGGCUGAGGUGUGAUGACGAGGCACUACGGUGCUGAAGUAACAAAUGCCCUGCUUCCAGGAAAAGCCUCUAAGCAUCAGGUAACAUUAAAUCGUACCCCAAACCGACACAGGUGGUCAGGUAGAGAAUACCAAGGCGCUUGAGAGAACUCGGGUGAAGGAACUAGGCAAAAUGGUGCCGUAACUUCGGGAGAAGGCACGCUGGUGUGUAGGUGAAGUCCCUGCGGAUGGAGCUGAGACCAGUCGAAGAUACCAGCUGGCUGCAACUGUUUAUUAAAAACACAGCACUGUGCAAACACGAAAGUGGACGUAUACGGUGUGACGCCUGCCCGGUGCCGGAAGGUUAAUUGAUGGGGUUAUCCGUAAGGAGAAGCUCUUGAUCGAAGCCCCGGUAAACGGCGGCCGUAACUAUAACGGUCCUAAGGUAGCGAAAUUCCUUGUCGGGUAAGUUCCGACCUGCACGAAUGGCGUAAUGAUGGCCAGGCUGUCUCCACCCGAGACUCAGUGAAAUUGAACUCGCUGUGAAGAUGCAGUGUACCCGCGGCAAGACGGAAAGACCCCGUGAACCUUUACUAUAGCUUGACACUGAACAUUGAGCCUUGAUGUGUAGGAUAGGUGGGAGGCUUUGAAGCGUGGACGCCAGUCUGCGUGGAGCCAACCUUGAAAUACCACCCUUUAAUGUUUGAUGUUCUAACGUUGGCCCCUUACCGGGGUUGCGGACAGUGUCUGGUGGGUAGUUUGACUGGGGCGGUCUCCUCCCAAAGCGUAACGGAGGAGCACGAAGGUUAGCUAAUCCUGGUCGGACAUCAGGAGGUUAGUGCAAUGGCAUAAGCUAGCUUGACUGCGAGCGUGACGGCGCGAGCAGGUGCGAAAGCAGGUCAUAGUGAUCCGGUGGUUCUGAAUGGAAGGGCCAUCGCUCAACGGAUAAAAGGUACUCCGGGGAUAACAGGCUGAUACCGCCCAAGAGUUCAUAUCGACGGCGGUGUUUGGCACCUCGAUGUCGGCUCAUCACAUCCUGGGGCUGAAGUAGGUCCCAAGGGUAUGGCUGUUCGCCAUUUAAAGUGGUACGCGAGCUGGGUUUAGAACGUCGUGAGACAGUUCGGUCCCUAUCUGCCGUGGGCGCUGGAGAAUUGAGGGGGGCUGCUCCUAGUACGAGAGGACCGGAGUGGACGCAUCACUGGUGUUCGGGUUGUCAUGCCAAUGGCACUGCCCGGUAGCUAAAUGCGGAAGAGAUAAGUGCUGAAAGCAUCUAAGCACGAAACUUGCCCCGAGAUGAGUUCUCCCUGAGACUUUAAGUCUCCUGAAGGAACGUU
rnacentral:rRNA from 1 species